rnacentral:lncRNA from 1 species
UGGGGAUAUCACAACUAUUCUACCUGGUGGGGGUGCCCAUGUGACUCGUGAUGGGCGUUUGAUUAUUCUAAGUCGAGAUUGCAGUCUUCACGUUGUCGAACAGUCAACAUUCUUUCUUUAGUUCAAUUUGUAGUCAAUAUGUUUUAUACAAAAAGGAACCCAUGCAACGAUAGGAAAUCCUUUUUUUAGAGAGCCAAUGCCUUAAGACAGACCCUAAUAGCAGUUGUCGCCUACUUCACUGAGUUGUGGUUCUAAAAAGAAGAUUUAGCUUGGUAUAUUCCAUCAAGAGAAAGCCAUAUCUAUAUAUAGAAAGCAAAAUAGAAAUUGUAUACAGGUGCUUACACUUUCCUGAGGAUUCUAAGACCCGAUCACCCGUCAAAGAAAUAUCCUUAGGUCUUAAGUCUACAGCUCCGUAGCUUGUGUCGCCUACAUAGGGUAGAAAAGAAUGCUUUGCAUAAACAUCUCAAUGUCCAAGAUAAAAGGAACGAGGGGAAGAAUCGACGAGGCGAGUGUUCUCGAAGAGAAAAUCGUGAUGGAAAAAGCGUGAGGAGAAUUCUAAACUCGAGAUAUGCAAANNN